UUUGAGAUGUGUGUGCUUAUUUUGUAGCUCCAUUAGUUGAUAGCUUACAUGUCAGUUUUUAUUUCCCAGCUGUCUCCUCCUUCACCUGCUGCCUCCAAAAAUCAUGAUCAGCUUCUUGGUUUGACUAGCAAGACCUCAAAAUGUGAUGUGACAGGUGACUUGCCAGCUCCUCUGAGCCAAUUUCUAGCAUCCUAUCAGAGAAAAACAACAGCAUCACAUGUGGGGUCAGGAAGAAGUUGCUAGCACUGAAAAGGAGUGCAGACCUUCACUGGACCCCCAGAAGCUGGACUAGGAUUUGGCUUGAGCCAGGACCAGGUAAGUGUUUAUUCAAUGUCAAACAGAGAUAGAGGCUACUAUUUGAGGUA
rnacentral:lncRNA from 1 species